AGGGUGUAAACGCUGCAGACUUGGUGUUGGAGGCCCUUUGGGGGCAUUCAGUGCCGGAGAGAAGUUGUUAAGUCUGCUACUUGGGGAGUACGUCCGCAAGGAUGAAACUUAAAGGAAUUGGGCGGGGGAGCACCGCAACGGGAGGAGCGUGCGGUUUAAUUGGAUUCAACACCGUAAAACUCACCAGGGAAGACUGUUACAUGAAGGCCGAGAUGAAGACUCUGCUAGAUUUUCAGAGAGGAGGUGCAUGGCGUCAGUGACU
rnacentral:rRNA from 1 species